GCCCACAGACAGAUCAGUAGAUAGAGCAUGAGACUCUUCAUCUCAGGGUUGUGGAUCCAAGCCCCACAUUGGGCA